GGCAUGGUGCUCUUGGCCCGCUCCGUUAGGAUGCGAGUGUUGAGAUGUGCCUGCCAUCCUUCUAGAGUGCAGUUCUACUCCUUUCGGGGAGCUGGGGCUUGCCGUCUAGAUCAUUUACUUUGAAAAAAUUAGAGUGUUUAAAGCAGGUUUUGCCAUGAAUACAUUAGCAUGGAAUAAUCAACGAGGACUUCGGUUCUAUUUUGUUGGUUUCUAGGACUGAAGUA
rnacentral:rRNA from 1 species